rnacentral:rRNA from 1 species
UACCAGCACCCCGAGUGGUCGGGACGUUUAUUGGGCCUAAAGCAUCCGUAGCCGGUUCUACAAGUCUUCCGUUAAAUCCAACUGCUUAACAGGUGGGCUGCCGAAGAUACUAUAGAGCUAGGAGGCGGGAGAGGCAAGCGGUACUCGAUGGGUAGGGGUAAAAUCCAUAGAUAUAUAGAUGAACAUCAAUAAAGGCGAAGGCAGUUAACUAUUCUGUUACUGACACUGAGGCACGAAAGCGUGGGGAGCAAAACGG